GACGUAGGGCGCGAGCGUUGUCCGGAUUUAUUGGGCGUAAAGAGCUCGUAGGCGGCUUGUCGCGUCGACCGUGAAAACUUGGGGCUCAACCCCAAGCCUGCGGUCGAUACGGGCAGGCUAGAGUUCGGUAGGGGAGACUGGAAUUCCUGGUGUAGCGGUGAAAUGCGCAGAUAUCAGGAGGAACACCGGUGGCGAAGGCGGGUCUCUGGGCCGAUACUGUCGCUGAGGAGCGAAAGCGUGGGGAGCGAACAGG
rnacentral:rRNA from 1 species